UACAGAGGUCCCAAGCGUUGUUCGGAUUCACUGGGCGUAAAGGGCGCGUAGGCGGUUUGCUAAGUUGGAUGUGAAAACUCUGGGCUUAACCCAGAGCCUGCAUUCAAAACUGACAGGCUAGAGUUCUGGAGGGGAUAGCGGAAUUCCUGGUGUAGCGGUGAAAUUCGUAGAUAUUCGCAAGAACACCAGUGGCGAAGGCGGCUCACUGGCCCGGUACUGACGCUGAGGUGCGAAAGCGUGGGGAGCAAACAGG
rnacentral:rRNA from 1 species